CCGCAGCCUGGGAGCUGGACCUGCCCUCGCUAAGCACCCAGCACCGCCAGGCUCAGCACUGUCGGUUUCCACCGCAGUGAAACGGUUACGCGGUGGCACGGGCUCGGUGUUUCGUGAUGGGCGGAACCCCCGCGGACGCGCUGCGGCCCGGAGCGCAGCACCCACUGCCCGGCCAGCGGGCGCCCUCCGUGCGAAACGCGCCUCCCGUGGAGGAGACGCGCCGGGUCAGGAUCCGGACGCCGUGCGGCUUGCAAAACGCGAACGACCGGGGGAAGGUCAGUCCCAGCAGUGACAGCGUGGGCUCCCAGGGGUCGUCGCAAAACCUAAACUACAACGAGCUGCACCUUUCAGCCUCGGCUACAGGAGGCACCGUGGACCAUGCGGUCCACAUGAGGGACUGUCGUGAGGACCACGAGGAGCUGUCACACUUCUGCGACGCGCGGCCGGGCGACAGGACUGGGGACCAGCCCGGUGCUCUAUUAUUUGCUGAUAACAGUGAAGAACAAUUAGAACUUAAAGACAUCGUUUAGGUAUAGAAGUUCAGUGUGAGUGGAAGGACUUGAGAGGAAGCUGGGCCUCCACGGAGCAGGGACGUACACGUCUGGGGCAGGAGCUUGCUGAGCAGAGCCCCAGGCGGGAGGCGGUUGGGGCAGCCGUGCAUGUGCGCAUGCGUGCGUGUGUAAAAUCUCGUUCUAAAGGAAAUGGAAGUUAAUGUGUCCCUCCGCAUGUAACAUUUACAUGAAUUAAUUGCCAUAAAUGUGUUUGCGAUUAUAGUACUAAUUCCUAGGGGUUCAAACUGCUUUGAACCGUUAAGUAUAGCAGAACAUCCUAAUCAGAAAAAAAUACAGUAGUUUCAUUAAACACUCAUUGAUAUGUCGGAGAGGUUUCUGGUGGUGUUGAGACAAGUAUGAAAAUGGUGAGGAAAUCAUUUAAAAAAACACAGUCUGUUGAUAGAAAGAGCAAAUAAUCAAGCCUGAUGAAUGUUCCCAAGCCACUGAAGCCACUGCUGACAGAGUGGCCAUGGAGUGUUGUCCCAGGCCGAGUGCUCUGUGCCCUGGCUUCACACCUAGUGCUCACAGCCUGGCACAUUCACCACUCUACCUGGCUUUCGGAAGCGUCACUGCAAUAAAUGAUUGGUGUUCGGAGCACGUGUCUUCCGCUGUCACCAGACUAAUAGGCUACAGGAAGUGUUCGCCUACUUUUCAAGUGUUUUCACCAACACAGAGCAUCCGCCAGGUGCAGGGAGCCUGGCCUGCAGACAUAAAGAGGGCGAGCUUACGGCGUUGCACCAGUGUAUCUCAGCUCUAUCCUCGCUGGGUAGACGCAAGGCACCGGGAUAAAAUGACAGGCGAUGCCGGGCCCUGCGCAGUAGGACGUAAGGACGUAAGGACGGCACGGUUCUGAGGACAGGAGUCACUGAGGGCUGGGACAGGCAGGCAGGCGGGGCUCGCGCUGGGCUCCCACCGUUCCGAGACCUCAGUGCGCAUCCACUGUACGCCAGGUGCAGGCCAGACUGGACACACAGCAGUGAGCAAACGGGCAGCCAUGGCUGCCGCGAGACCUUCUGGAGCUGCACCAGAAGCUGCUCACAAGGCAGACAGCAUCACUGCUCUUUACCUCGGGGAGCUGGAUGCAGGCAGAAGGGACCCCAGACCCAAGUUUUACACGGGUUUGCUGUUUCCCUCAGGAGCUGUGUGCUGAGCAUCCGGCACACGCCAGAUGCAGGUGCGGGAAGAGGGCGGAGAGCCUGGCCACGGGGCACCUUCGGUGCUUAUCUGGCUGGAGGACCCACAGCCACAUGGGAAUAAAUACACAGCAUGUGUGCUAACGUGGGGUGAGGGGUCCGAGAGAGGGGCAGGAAGGCCAGAGGAGGAGGAGACGUGUGGCCUGAGGCAUGAAGGACAGGUGCCAGGGGCCAGAGUGACAUCUGGGCAAAGAGCAAGGACAAUGGCCCCAAGGCAGGAAUAUGCCCGUCGCAUUAAGUGAAAUGGGAAACCACCAGGCGUGUCAGGUGAGGUGAAUGGUCCCGCAUAACUCCUGAAAAGAUGAGCCUGUCUGCUGUAUGGGACAAAACUGGAAGCAGGGAGCCUCUCCCGCAAUGACCCAGGCUACAGGAAGGGUGGCUGGGCCCGCACGCGCCUCAAAGCUUCCUGCGUGAGUGGCCAGUUAACUACUUUGGGGAACACUUGUCAACCCUCCACAUUUAAGAGCAAAAUUUUUAUCAUGUUUAAAUAGUUGCAAGGAUGUAAUUUCCCAAAUAUUAUAAAUAUUGACUUUUAAAAUGAAACCAUGACAUCAUUCCUUAAAUGUCUCCAGUGGAGCCUCAGUGUCACUGCGAUUUGAAACCCACUAUCACACAAACACACAAACAACAUGUUCUGUUAAGUCCUUUUCUCCCAAACUCUUCCAUUCCAAUUCCCUCGCAAAUUUUCUUCUACAUACAGUGAGUUUUGACUCUUGAACAUAAUUUAUUGAUUACUCUAUUAUUUAUGGGGGGAUUAAUUGGCAAUUUCCUGUGAACAUAAUUCUCAGGUUAAAAACGUUCCUCCUCAGUUGAAUUAGUAUUACAACUAUUAUUAACACAUAAUUGAUUGAAGCAGUAUAAAUAUGUGCAAGUUUCGAUUAAAAAGUUGAAUUAUAUUGGAGACUUAUCUCCUAAUAUGCCUGGGACUUUUUUUCCUGACAGUUCUUACGUCCAGUGAUGAGAAUUACUAGAGGCAGGGUUACAGGAUCAGUAUUCUGCCUAUUUUUCCAUAAUUGUGUGCACAUAAAUAAGCAUGACUAGAGGAAGUUUAAUGACAGCAACUUAGCUACAUUCUUUGAGCAUCUCUGAUUAACAGCACUGCAUGACAGCUGGACAGAGACUGCAGAAGUCUCAGCAGUGAGAGACACUGGAGUAAAGGGAAGAGCAACCCAAGGUCGGCUGAGAUGCCAAAAAGGCCACACCCUAGGGCAGAGGGAUACAAUACACACCAGGAGGAAGAAAAAACUAAAAUCUCUCAGAUGCAGAAUUUACUGGAUUUGCUGAACGCCAGACUGGAUGCAGCUGAAGGGAGGGUUUUUCAACUUAAAGUCUCAUCGACAGAAAUCAUCUGAAUCAAAACGCAGAGAAAAAUGACGAGAGAAAAAGACAAUGAAAAAGAAUAUUAGAGCCCUGUGGGACAAGAUCAAAAUGUCUCACGUACCUAAAACUGGACUUUCGAAGGGAAGGGAAAAGAAAAUGAAGCAGAAGAAAUAUCUAAAGAGAAGACAUGUGAGAAUUUUACAAAUUGAUGAGAACACACCAACCACAGAUCCAAAAAGUUUAGCAAACCCCGAAGAGGACACAUUCAAAGAACAGCACAUGGAGGCAUAUUUGCUGAAACCCGAAAGUAGAAAGUCCUUAAAGGGGACAAAGGAAAAAACAGACAUAGCAAGUUCAGGGAAACUGCCGUAAGAAUGACCCCUGACUCCUGAUCAAAAGCAGCGGAAGCCAGAAGACAAAGAAACGAUGUCUGUAAAAAGCCGAAAGUAAAACGGAAGUCGCCGAGGCCAGAACCCAACACCUAACAAAAAUGCCCUUCGAAAAUUAAGGUGAUGAACGGUGUUCCCAGAUAAACAGAAGCUGAAAAGCAUUCGUCACCAGGAGACUUGGCCUUCGCAAGGACUGCAGGAGGCCCCUCAGGCCAGGGAAAAACACUCCGAAGCGGAAUCCCGCGUGAACUGUGCGGGCAGCUGUGAAAGGCAUUUAAGAUAAUGGCUUCAGAAAAUUAUUGAACGAAUGCUUGAAGUUAAUUUGAAAAUAACGUGUUGUAAGUUUUAGCGCAACCGCUGUCCCACAUGAUUUCCUGUGAUACCAGGGAUGUUCUCUACACGGAGCGCCUGCCUGAGGGGCUGAAUUUUAAAACUAUUUAAUUGUAAUUCGUUUAACUUUAUACUUAAACAGCCACGUUUAAGGAAUGGCUGCCGAACUGGACAGUGCGACCUGCAGAAAUACAGAACAUGACCAGAAGAGCAGAAGGGCAGGAGCAGGUAGGGAGUCGACGCUGUCUCGCUGUGUUAAGGUUCUUAGUGGUGGAUGAAGUGAUGUUAUGUUACUUCAAAGUGGACUGUGAUACGCGAAGGGUACAUACUGUAACUUCUAGAUCGACCACUAUCAUAAAUCAGUAUAAAAAUAUGAUAUAUAUAAAAAAAGUAGCAUAGAAGACAUAAAGUGGAAUUUUAACAAUACGUGAACAAGCCAAGAGGAGGUGAGAAGGAAUAAAGCUCAGAUGGAACAAAUACCGAGCAGCGAGGCGGUGGAUUAGAGCCGCCUGUUCAGUCACUACGUCGAAUGUGAACUGCAGAGCACGACGAUCUGAAGCCGGACUUUAGGCUGAUGGAGAAAACACUCUAACUCCCGAGUUUCCCAAACGCACCCUCGGUCCGUAACCAAGAUGAGCUGCAAGUACAAGAACGGAGAAGAGACGCCGUGCACGCCCCAAUCAUAAGAUGCGGCGACAUCCACGCCAGACCAGGAGUCCUAGUGAGGGACUGUCACGAGAGGGGCGGUUCGAAGGACACGCCGACAGAACCAAAAGAAGAAACGAGAACUCACAAGUAUGGCCCUGGUUUUCCCACGCAGGCAGAGGUCAGGCAGGGCGCCAUCUGCAGUGUCAUCAAACAGCUCGCCCACCUCUCCAGCAGUCCUGCUGCAUGGCUCGGUGGCCGGUGGCAAAGUCGGGUGGAAGGGCAAACCGGGCAGCAGUCUCGGCACCCCUGUGCCCCCGGCCCUCCCCCUGCUGACUACUGUGGCUGAGGACACACCGCCCGUCUGCACCUCGGUCCCCUCACCCACUAGUGGGCCACGCACAGGCUGCUCUGGGGCAGCCCUUCCGCCCUAAGCGCCACUCCAAGGAGACUCUAGGCUGCCCUGCGACGCUCCCGGUUUGAGGACACAGCUUCUAGAAGGCGAGAGCCACGCUGGGCCCCACAGCCGCAGUGUCUGUGUCGGGCGGUCCUGCGGGGAAGGUGUGUACUCACCUCCUCGCUCUCCCGCGAGUAAAUGCUUUGGCUGCAGAGACCUGGAGUUCUACCUCUGCAUCAGGUGGAGACAAAUAUUCUUAUUUUGGCCAAGCUUUCCGAGAAAAUAUAAGAAACACAAAUCCUACAGUGUAAAAAAACCCAGGUAACCAUAAACUCGCUGCCACCCAAGAUUCUGGGAUGAAAUGUUCUCCUUGACCCAACAUUCCGCGCUCAGAGGCGGGUUGUGGCCGCACCUACCCGUGUUCCUGCCUCAGCAUCUCCGCAGCAUCAGGCAGGUAGCAGCAGUUUCUCAGAACGCCGGUGCUUGUGGGGCACGCGCCUGCAGCUGCACCACCAGCAGGCACGAGACGCGAGAAGUCACGUCUUCGCAGCUGGGCAUUUCAGAUCGAGUCUUCGCAUACCUGAAGCAUCUCGUCCUGACAAAGUCUGGGAGUUUCAGAAGAAAUAACACUCACAUUGGUAAUGACACAGCAAAAUGGCCUGAAAGGAAAACACGUUUCAGUGACAAAGCUUUACACUCUCCAGUACGUCAGUGUAUGUGGCAUAUGAUUAUUUUAUUACACAAUCGUGGGCUAGGACUACACAGAGGCACUGUUAAAAUUUGAGUUGCACUUGUGUUUGCCUUAAGGUCACAUUAACUUUGUAUACAUUUUUUUGGAAUUAUUGAUUAUACCAAAAUUCAAACGUGACCAGAAACUGGAAGAAUAAAAAAAAAAAAAAAAAAGAAGAAGUGUGGUAGAAAUUUUGAAAUGUCAAUUAAAAGUGGAAUUGAAAGCACUAAUGGUGAAAAUCAUGAAGGAAAAGAAUCAUGAUAGCUAAGAAAACAUGGGUAAUGAAAAUGACAACGCAGAGAUGAAAGACAGUACAAGGAUCAGGACGCACCGAAACAGGAAGCAAAAAAGCAGAAGGAAAAGCAAAGCAGGAAGAUGGUGGUAACGGAAAGGAAACCCACGGGGCCUCCAGUCGGUGGGACGCAGCGGGGUGGCCCCGACCCCCUGAUUUUUGAAGCCUGUUGACUUCAGGGAGCACCGAGGCUUCAUCAUGCCUGUAUGUAUUCUCCCAACACUGUUCAGCGAAAAAUUCAUUAGUUCAAAAUUGUGAUCCCAUUUACAGAGAAUCAACUAUAACAUGCAGCGCACCAAAGAGAUGCUUCUCAAAAGACUUUGAGAGAAUUAUUUUCUGAUAGGAACACUGCUCCGUGAUGGUGCUUAGCCCACUCCACGCCCGCACGCUGCCUGUAGUUUCGCUUGCACACACUUUUCAAGCAGACGGACACGACUUAUGACAGACUUUCAGAUCAGUGUCUUUAGAACGCUCAAAAAUCACAAACUCUCCACGGAGCACAAUACCACGGUUAUCUGGGCACACACAAAUCACAGCGGGCUCCUCAAAGGACCGUGGACGCAAGUAAUGCACGCGAUCUGAUGAGUGAGUCAUAAACGCAGAAAGCGAUUUCCAUUUCUUCCAGACUUGAUAUGAAAUACUGCAAUCAACAAUGAUAUAAAGCUAAUAAGCGGCUCUCAGGCCACAGCGGGUUUAAGACCCCGCCCUGCAUCCAGACACCGGAAACACCCGAAGUCCUUCGGCUCUCACAGGAGAGGUUUGGCCAAAUGGGAUAGCAAGCCUAAAAGUGUGCGUUGCAUUACUACUAAGAAUGCAAAGCCGACCACCUUUUCUAACCUUUUAAUAAAAGAAAAAUUUGACCAAC